rnacentral:rRNA from 1 species
UGGGGAAUUUUGCACAAUGGGGGAAACCCUGAUGCAGCGACGCCGCGUGAUUUAGAAGGCCUUCGGGUUGUAAAAAUCUUUUCUAUGGGAAGAAAAUGACAGUACCAUAGGAAUAAGGACCGGCUAAUUACGUGCCAGCAGCCGCGGUAAUACGUAAGGUCCGAGCGUUGUCCGGAAUCAUUGGGCGUAAAAGGUACGUAGGCGGGUAAGCAAGUUAGAAGUGAAAUCCUAUAGCUCAACUAUAGUAAGCUUUUAAAACUGCUCAUCUUGAGGUAUGGAAGGGAAAGUGGAAUUCCUAGUGUAGCGGUGAAAUGCGCAGAUAUUAGGAGGAAUACCGGUGGCGAAGGCGACUUUCUGGCCAUAACCUGACGCUGAGGUACGAAAGCGUGGGUAGCAAACAGG